CCCAAAUCCAAGGAUAAAGUUGCUGCGGAACGUGGCCAGAAGAGGAGGGAAACCAGAAAAACAAAACAGAAUCCGAGCCUGAACCAUUCCAGCGAAACUGCAGCCACCCAAAAAUGCAGGAGCAGCACAAAAAGGAGCCACGCUGUGCCCUCACCAACUCCCACUCCGUAAUUUGAGGAAAAUGCUGAAGGGAGACGAUGCCUCUGCUGAGGAAUUUUCCUAUUCCCUGGGAGAGGAGUGGGGGAAAAGCAAAAGGAAAUCUCUGUGCUGAGUUAUUAAGGAUGAACAACAAUCGGUG
rnacentral:lncRNA from 1 species